rnacentral:rRNA from 1 species
CCUACGGGUGGCUGCAGUGGGGGAUAUUGCACAAUGGGGGGAACCCUGAUGCAGCGACGCCGCGUGGGUGAAGAAGCGCCUCGGCGCGUAAAGCCCUGUCAGCAGGGAAGAAAAUGACGCUACCUGAAGAAGAUGCACCGGCUAACAACGUGCCAGCAGCCGCGGUAAGAUGGAGGGGGCAAGCGUUAUCCGGAUUUACUGGGUGUAAAGGGGGCGCAGACGGAGAUUCAAGCGAGGAGGGAAAGCCCGGGGCCCAACCCCGGGACUGCUCUUGGAACUGCGUGGCUGGAGUGCAGGAGGGGCAGGCGGAAUUCCUGGUGUAGCGGUGAAAUGCGUAGAUAUCAGGAAGAACACCGGUGGCGAAGGCGGCCUACUGGACUGCAACUGACGGUGAGGCCCGAAAGCGUGGGGAGCAAACAGGAUUAGAUACCCCUGUAGUC